UUGGAAGUAUAGCCUGCCCCCUGAGGUUUUAAAUGGCCGCGGUAGCCUGACCGUGCAAAGGUAGCACAAUAACUAGUUUUUUAAUUGAUAGCUGGAAUGAAAGGUUGGACGAGGGAAAAACUGUCUCUAUUUAAUUUAAUUAGAAUUUUAUUUUUAAGUAAAAAAGCUUAAAUUAUUUUGAAAGACGAGAAGACCCUAUAGAAUUUUAUAUUUAUUUUAAUGUUGGGGUGUGAGGUAUAUUUAAUUUUGACAUUAUUAGACAUAUUUUAUUGGGGCGAUAGAAAAAUUUAAGGAACUUUUUUUUAAAUUUAUCCAUUAAUAUAUGAAUUUAUGAUCCAUUAUUUAUGAUUAUAAGAUUAAAUUACCUUAGGGAUAACAGCGUAAUCUUUUUUAAGAGUUCUUAUCGAAAAAAGGGGUUGCGACCUCGAUGUUGGAUUAAAAU
rnacentral:rRNA from 1 species